AGCUGCUUCUGUGCCUCUUCUCUCGUAUAGUUAUUUUUCUCAUUUUUUAACUUAUUUCCUAAAGAAAGAACAGAAAUGCUAAAUAUACUAACGAAAAACGUAAUCUUUCUUAUAUAUUGACAUAACAAGGGGCACAAGUGUAAAUUCACUCUUGAAAAGGCCUAUCUCCCCCUACCCACUCCCAUUAAUUUGCAUAGUCUCACCAUGGAAAAGGCUCUCUCCCCGUCUUUCUCUCUCUCUCUCUCUCUCGUUCUGCUCCCUCUCCCAGCUGAGUGCCUCUUCUUAAGAAAGCUACCUUCUUCACGCGUGGAUUUGGUGAAAGUCUUCCUAUCGAUGAGUCAUGACAGGCAGAGGUAUACUUCACCGAAAUGUUACUUGGAAGAUCUCUCGAUCUUAAGGUUUUAAACAAGCGUUUUCUGUCUUUUUCUUUAAUUUUCUAUUUUUUUUAAUAAUAAUGACAUGUCAGCUCGUGCAAAGCACGUUUUUUGUACGUACAUGUAGCAGCCCUCUAUUCAAAAUACGCUGCAAAAGCAGGUGACAUGAGCCAAAGAAAAUGAUACAUUUAUUUAUAAUUCAAAUGCCAACUCGAAUAGAAACUUUGAAUC